AGCAAUACUUGAAACUAUAUUAUCAGUCUGUGAGUAAGUUUGUAAGAGUGUAAUCUAAAAUUUAUUGUUGUUUCUAAUCUUCAUUCACCCUUUUACCAUUCAGACAAUUGACCUUGCAACUAUUGACAUUUUACGUGACCGUGAGCGUGGAAUCCCGCGAUAUAACGAGUUUAGACGGUUGACCAGGCUCAAACCAGUGGAGUCCUUUGAAAAGCUCACACCAAACAGAAAACACUCAGAUUUACUGAAAGACUUGUACGACGACGACAUCGAGAAAUUAGACCUGCUGAUUGGCUGUCUAGCGGAAGAGCCUCGACCUGAUGGGUACGGAUUUGGUGAAACGGCAUUCAACAUAUUUGUUCUUAUGGCCAGCCGGAGACUGAAAACCGAUCGGUUUAUGACCGAUGACUUUACCAGUGAUAUUUACACACCCGAGGGUUUGAAGUGGAUUCAAGACACAGACAUGAGCAAUGUGCUUAUCCGUGCUUUUCCUGACAUCCAAUGGCUCAGCGGUGUUUUAGCAAAUACCAACAAUGCAUUUUUCCCUUGGCCAGUUCCCGGCGGGGAUAUCGCUGGAUAACGCCUCGGAGUUUUAGAAAGUUUGCUGUCAAUUUUUAUCGGUACAAACAUCAUCGGCGCUUCUUUGUGUUAGUUUGAGGUAGACAGUGGUUGUCAAAAUCUGACUUUGUGGAGGGAAAAAAUUAAAAAAAAUGCCAUGACUAUCAA